UCUCCCUCCAGACUCCCCUUCUCUCCUCUCCAGCCCUCUUCCCAGCCUCUGUCUCUCUUCUUCCUCACUUCUGUCCUGUGUUGUUUACCAAGGCAAUUCACCUAGUGCUUCUGCUGGAGACGAAUCACUGCAAAGAUGCAGAAGACACAUCAAUGUCACAAGAGACCUUGAAACAUCUCCAAGGAGAAGGGAGAAGAGAAAGGAGUGAGGGUGCCACCUGUGGAUUGGUUGUUUGUGGCUUCUGGUUUAUGACUGCAACUGUGCGUGGAAAUUAGGACUCUGUGAGGGAGCAGGUACUUCAGACGUGGUAGGCUCAGGACUGGCAGCCACUAUUAACACCUGAGAGAGGAUACCACGAAGACCUGAGACAUGGACCCAGUGCAGAGAGGGAGACGGGGAAGACUCCUGAAGGAACACAUGGGAGUGUCGGAUCUCAUCACAUGCCAAGCCAGUCUAUUAGUUAUUGGAGACAAUACAUUCUCAGUUUCGUUUAAGGUGGUUUGAAUGAAGCUUUGGUCACUUACAGAUGCAAAGUUCUAGGCAGGUAUGAGUAAAAGAGACACAGAGCGUUGGUUGUGCGGGAUGCCUGGCCACAGAACGCUGGAGGAGAUGCAACUAAAUGCUCUUUAUCCGGGCGGAUUUCCCACCUUUGAGUUUUUGGCAGCAGCCGGCACGUGAACUACAUCAUGGUGCCCCUGUCCUGCGGUGGCUUCUCAAGAUAUUUUCCUAUCUGCAACAGUCCUUUCUCCGAAAAGAAUCACCCAGAUGUCCCAAGGGAAACAUUAAUUCUCCAUCUCCUGGAUGAAUGAACCAAUAAGCAAGGAGGCGGGGUUUGGUGAAAAGGAAGUGGUCCCCACACAGAUGGCAUAUUUUGUGGGCAGCAGCCAUACUUGAGGUGUGCUGAGCUGGUGGGGGUGUUCCUGUCUCCCAGAACACUUGGUGUUCUCUGGCCAUCCACAGUGCGCCCCACAGAACACCGGCGAAGAUGGGCUGCCAUAAAGGGACAGUCUGAAAGUCCCGCUGAGGACAGAAUGGAAGGACCUGGAAGCAAGCACAGGCUGGCAGCGGAGACUGAAGCCACAGUGGGGAUGAGCACAAGUCUGGAGUCUUCUGGGCCACAGCUUCUUCAGGCUGCGUUCCUGGCUCUUCCCGCCUCCAUGCAGGGUUAGGGUUCUCUGUGCUUCCAGGACUUCCAGGACAUGACCAGCAUCUGCCUUAUGGCUUGUGUUUACUUCUGAGCUCCUUGAAAGCUAGGACCACUCCACACUGACCUUUGUGCGGCUCCUGCUGUGGUGUGUUUUGAGGUUUUGCACAGCGCUGCAGGAAUCAUAGGACAUCAGGAAACGUUUGCAGGUCUGGGAGCUCUGCAGUGAACGAGUACUGUCUUAGGUAACCGGAGACACAAUCUGGAAAAGAAAAAUUGUAAAAUACAUAUAUCUGAAAAGGCUUCACAUAGGUUACAGGUAUGAAACGAAUGACUCCACACCAGUGUGUGGCUGAGCUCUAGGUCUUAUGGAGGCUGUUAGCAAAAGCAAAGAAUCCUGGCUUCGAACCUGGGGUCAACCUGGAAGUCGGGUGGAGAACUCUGAGAGGAAUGGGAGGAGCAUGCCCCCUCCCCUGGUGGAGAGCCUUGGAGGGACGGCAGUUUAAGAUCCAGUGUACUUGACAGCAUCUCUUCCAAUCUGAAAAUAAACUGAACUUCCUGAGCUGGUUUUUUGAAAACCAAAGCUUGGAGGACUUGUUUGACUUCUAUUCUCCCUGUGUCAGCAUUUGGAAGAAAAACAGGGAACAAUUAACACCGAAAAGAAACCCACCGUAUUAACAAUCAGCCUUGGGGGGCGGGGACACAGAAAGCUAAGGGGUCUAACUUUUUACAUUGCAUGAAGCCUAAAGAAUUAUGGACUUACCUAGAACUCAAGCUCUUCAUCUUUCUUCACUUGAUCCCUAUCCAAGUAGCUACUGUAGAAUACUUUAAUAUUCUCUGAUGCAUCAGUAAUGUCUUGCAAUGUGAUCAUUAAAUGCACUGAA